rnacentral:rRNA from 1 species
AUCAGCCACACUGUAACUGAGACACGGUCCACACUCCUACGGGAGGCAGCUGUGGGGAAUAUUGGACAAUGGGCGCACGCCUGAUCCAGACAUACCGCGUGGGUGAAGAAAGCCUUCGGGUUGUAAAGCCUUUUGUUGGGAAAGAAAUCCAGCUGGCUAAUACCCGGUUAGGAUGACGGUACCCAAAGAAUAAGCACCGGCUAACUUCGUGCCAGCAGCCGCGUAAUACGAAGGUGCAAGCGUUACUCGGAAUUACUGGGCGUAAAGCGUGCGUAGUGGUCGUUUAGUCCGUGAGAAAGCCUUGGCUCACCUGGAACUGCUAUGGAUACUGGGCGACUAGAUUGGGUUAAAGGUAGCGGAAUUCUGGGGUACAUGAAAUGCUUAAAUCCAGAGGAAACCCAUGGCUAGGACCUCUCUGGACCACCUGACCUGAGAACUAAUCCUGGGGACAAACAGAAUUAUUCCUGGUAUCCACCCCUUAAAGCCAAUUGGAUUUGGGGCAAUU